rnacentral:rRNA from 1 species
CUCUAGCUACAGGCUUAACACAUGCAAGUCGAGGGGCAGCAUUUUAGUUUGCUUGCAAACUGAAGAUGGCGACCGGCGCACGGGUGAGUAACACGUAUCCAACCUGCCGAUAACUCCGGGAUAGCCUUUCGAAAGAAAGAUUAAUACCGGAUAGCAUACGAAUAUCGCAUGAUAUUUUUAUUAAAGAAUUUCGGUUAUCGAUGGGGAUGCGUUCCAUUAGUUUGUUGGCGGGGUAACGGCCCACCAAGACUACGAUGGAUAGGGGUUCUGAGAGGAAGGUCCCCCACAUUGGAACUGAGACACGGUCCAAACUCCUACGGGAGGCAGCAGUGAGGAAUAUUGGUCGAUGGGCGAGAGCCUGAACCAGCCAAGUAGCGUGAAGGAUGAAGGCUCUAUGGGUCGUAAACUUCUUUUAUAUGGGAAUAAAGUUUUCCACGUGUGGAAUUUUGUAUGUACCAUAUGAAUAAGGAUCGGCUAACUCCGUGCCAGCAGCCGCGGUAAUACGGAGGAUCCGAGCGUUAUCCGGAUUUAUUGGGUUUAAAGGGAGCGUAGGUGGAUUGUUAAGUCAGUUGUGAAAGUUUGCGGCUCAACCGUAAAAUUGCAGUUGAAACUGGCAGUCUUGAGUACAGUAGAGGUGGGCGGAAUUCGUGGUGUAGCGGUGAAAUGCUUAGAUAUCACGAAGAACUCCGAUUGCGAAGACAGCUCACUAGACUGUCACUGACACUGAUGCUCGAAAGUGUGGGUAUCAAACAGGAUUAGAUACCCUGGUAGUCCACACAGUAAACGAUGAAUACUCGCUGUUUGCGAUAUACAGUAAGCGGCCAAGCGAAAGCAUUAAGUAUUCCACCUGGGGAGUACGCCGGCAACGGUGAAACUCAAAGGAAUUGACGGGGGCCCGCACAAGCGGAGGAACAUGUGGUUUAAUUCGAUGAUACGCGAGGAACCUUACCCGGGCUUAAAUUGCAACAGAAUAUAUUGGAAACAGUAUAGCCGUAAGGCUGUUGUGAAGGUGCUGCAUGGUUGUCGUCAGCUCGUGCCGUGAGGUGUCGGCUUAAGUGCCAUAACGAGCGCAACCCUUAUCUUUAGUUACUAACAGGUUAUGCUGAGGACUCUAGAGAGACUGCCGUCGUAAGAUGUGAGGAAGGUGGGGAUGACGUCAAAUCAGCACGGCCCUUACGUCCGGGGCUACACACGUGUUACAAUGGGGGGUACAGAAGGCGGCUACCUGGUGACAGGAUGCUAAUCCCAAAAACCUCUCUCAGUUCGGAUCGAAGUCUGCAACCCGACUUCGUGAAGCUGGAUUCGCUAGUAAUCGCGCAUCAGCCAUGGCGCGGUGAAUACGUUCCCGGGCCUUGUACACACCGCCCGUCAAGCCAUGAAAGCCGGGGGUACCUGAAGUACGUAACCGCAAGGAGCGUCCUAGGGUAAAACUGGUAAUUGGGGCUAAG